GCACUGUGCGCUGCCAGGGGAGCCCACAGGUUGCUGAAGGUUAUGAGGAGGAACAAGGAGGAAGGCGCCCAUCCCUGGAAUAGAAAGCCAUGAGUGCCUGCUGCCCAGAGGUUCGGGAUACUGCUUCAGGAGAUCUGCCCUGCCUAGAAACCCCACCUCACGUUCCUGCACAUGAAAACGUCUGUCCAGAACCGGCUGGGGGUGGAGGAAAAAAUUAGGCAAACCUUGACUGGAUGCUGCGAGAGGAUGCGGCAGCCAGCUAAGAAUAGAAACGCCUCCUCCGGCUUCCAGCCUGGCCGGUGCAGGAGGCCAGUGCUGCCCGCAGCAGGGCACUUCUUCACUUAAUGCGUCCGCAGGGAGCAAUCGCGGGGAGUGGCGGAGCGCUGGGAGGAAGCGCGCCGCGGGCUGAGCCGAGCAAUGCCAGGGAACACCUUCGCUGCUGAUAAAUAAAAGAGAAAUAUGCUUCCUGCUCAGCCGCGGUGAUUGCAGCAUACAUCAGGAUUACAGCGCUGCUGGCAGGCUGUGCAGAGCGCGGCGCUGACAGAUCCCCGCGUGGAGACGGAUGGGACAGCCGGGCACUUUAUUCAGGAAAGAUGGAAGAAGUGAAAGAUGUGUUAAAUGGCAAUAACCCCUCGAUGAAGUAUUUCACCAUGUCAGACACCAGUAAAUGAUGGCAGCUGUAACCAGCCUUGAUUAUUUCAUGUCUGUUUGCAACCUUCCAUUAAAAAAUGUACACGCUCUCUAA